rnacentral:rRNA from 1 species
CGCGUAGGCGGCUUGCCAAGUCAGGGGUGAAAUCUUUCGGCUUAACCGGAAAAGUGCCUUUGAUACUGGCAAGCUAGAGGGAGGUAGGGGCAUGUGGAACUUCCGGUGGAGCGGUGAAAUGCGUUGAUAUCGGAAGGAACGCCGGUGGCGAAAGCGACGUGCUGGACCUUUUCUGACGCUGAGGCGCGAAAGCCAGGGUAGCGAACGGGAUUAGAUACCCCGGUAGUCCUGGCCCUAAACGAUGGGUACUAGGUAGUGGACUUGACAUGGGUUCACUGCCGAAGCAAAAGUGUUAAGUACCCCGCCUGGGGAGUAUGGUCGCAAGGCUGAA